rnacentral:rRNA from 1 species
GACGAACGCUGGCGGCGUGCUUAACACAUGCAAGUCGAACGGAAAGGCCCUGCUUUUGUGGGGUGCUCGAGUGGCGAACGGGUGAGUAACACGUGAGUAACCUGCCCUUGACUUUGGGAUAACUUCAGGAAACUGGGGCUAAUACCGGAUAGGAGCUCCUGCUGCAUGGUGGAGGUUGGAAAGUUUCGGCGGUUGGGGAUGGACUCGCGGCUUAUCAGCUUGUUGGUGGGGUAGUGGCUUACCAAGGCUUUGACGGGUAGCCGGCCUGAGAGGGUGACCGGCCACAUUGGGACUGAGAUACGGCCCAGACUCCUACGGGAGGCAGCAGUGGGGAAUAUUGCACAAUGGGCGGAAGCCUGAUGCAGCAACGCCGCGUGCGGGAUGACGGCCUUCGGGUUGUAAACCGCUUUCGCCUGUGACGAAGCGUGAGUGACGGUAAUGAGUAAAGAAGCACCGGCUAACUACGUG